CCUACGGGAGGCAGCAGUGAGGAAUAUUGGUCAAUGGACGCAAGUCUGAACCAGCCAUGCCGCGUGCAGGAAGACGGCUCUAUGAGUUGUAAACUGCUUUUGUACGAGGGUAAACGCAGAUACGCGUAUCUGUCUGAAAGUAUCGUACGAAUAAGGAUCGGCUAACUCCGUGCCAGCAGCCGCGGUAAUACGGAGGAUUCAAGCGUUAUCCGGAUUUAUUGGGUUUAAAGGGUGCGUAGGCGGUCGGAUAAGUUAGAGGUGAAAUCCCGAGGCUCAACUUCGGAAUUGCCUCUGAUACUGUUCGGCGAGAGAGUAGUUGAGGUAGGCGGAAUGUAUGGUGUAGCGGUGAAAUGCUUAGAGAUCAUACAGAACACCGAGUGCGAAGGCAGCUUACCAAGCUACUUCUGACGUUGAGGCACGAAAGCGUGGGGAGCAAACAGGAUUAGAUACCCCUGUAGUC
rnacentral:rRNA from 1 species